rnacentral:rRNA from 1 species
AUUGAACGCUGGCGGAAUGCUUUACACAUGCAAGUCGAACGGCAGCACGGACUUCGGUCUGGUGGCGAGUGGCGAACGGGUGAGUAAUGUAUCGGAACGUGCCCAGUCGUGGGGGAUAACGUAGUGAAAAUUACGCUAAUACCGCAUACGAUCGAUGGAUGAAAGCGGGGGAUCGCAAGACCGCGCGCGAUUGGAGCGGCCGAUAUCAGAGUAGGUAGUUGUUGGGGUAAAGGCACACCAAGCCAACGAUCUGUAGCUGGUCUGAGAGGACGACCAGCCACACUGGAACUGAGACACGGUCCAGACUCCUACGGGAGGCAGCAGUGGGGAAUUUUGGACAAUGGGCGAAAGCCUGAUCCAGCCAUUCCGCGUGCAGGAUGAAGGCCCUCGGGUUGUAAACUGCUUUUGUACAGAACGAAAAGGUUUCUACUAAUACUAGGAGCUCAUGACGGUACUGUAAGAAUAAGCACCGGCUAACUACGUGCCAGCCGCCGCGGUAA